rnacentral:rRNA from 1 species
UGCGGCUUAAUUUGAGCCAACACGGGAAAACUUACCAGGUCCAGACAUAGUAAGGAUUGACAGAUCGAAGUUCUUUCUUGAUUCUAUGCAUGGUGGUGCAUGGCCGUUCUUAGUCGGUGGAGUGAUUUGUCUGGUCAAUUCCGAUAACGGACGAGACCUCAGCCAUCUUAAUAGCUGUCGCUACGCCUUAGCGCUUACCCCGGUAAGAUCAGCUUCUUAGAGGGACAAUCUGCGUCCAGCAGAUGGAAGACUGAGGCAAUAACAGGUCAGUGAUGCCCUUAGAUGCUCUGGGCUGCACGCGCGCUACAAUGAUGCAUUCAACGAGUUUAACCUUGCCUGAGAAGGCUGGGUAAUCUUCAAAGUGCAUCUCAGUUGGGAUAGAUGAUUGCAAUUUUUCAUCUUGAACAAGGAAUGUCUAGUAAGCGCAAGUCAUCAACUUGCAUUGAUUACGUCCCUGCCCUUUGUACACACCGCCCGUCGCUCCUACCGAUUGAAUAAUCCGGUGAAUUGGGUGGAUGAAGGAAAUCGUUCCGGCGAAUUCCCUCAAAAGCUCCAUAAACCUUAUUAUUUAGAGGAAGGACAAGUCGUAACAAGGGA